CUUGGAAGAAAAGUGAUACUUUGCUGAAAUGCAGGGCUCGCCGCGUCCCGCUCAGCCUGCGUUUGCCCUCUAACUACGGGGAGGAGUUCUGCUUUGUCUAUAUAAAGCUGCACUUUGCUGAACACCGUAACAGAACCAAACUUAGAGACUCCAUCACCCAUCCUCUGUGGGGAGAGCAGAGCAGCAGCAGCCAUGUUUGGGAUUGGGAAGAAGCUCGCCGAGGAAGCAACGCAACAGGCCGAGAGCGCUGCGCAGGCGGCAGUUAACACGGUGGGGCAGACUGUGCAGCAAGCAGUGGAGCAGGCCAAGGAUGCUGGUCAGAAAGCUCUCGAUGAGGUCUACAAGGUCGCUGAAACCGGUGAGAAAGCUGUAAAAAAUGUAGCAAAUCAAGCAACUGCCUGGGGCAAAAGCUUCGGACAAUGAAGAUAACGUAACACCACUGAAUGUAUUCUUAAAUAAAUAAAACCCC
ensembl:lncRNA